rnacentral:rRNA from 1 species
UACAGAGGUCCCAAGCGUUGUUCGGAUUCACUGGGCGUAAAGGGUGCGUAGGCGGUCGGGUAAGUCUGACGUGAAAUCUUCAAGCUUAACUUGGAACUGCGUCGGAUACUAUUCGGCUGGAGGAAUGGAGGGGAGACUGGAAUACUUGGUGUAGCAGUGAAAUGCGUAGAUAUCAAGUGGAACACCAGUGGCGAAGGCGAGUCUCUGGACAUUUCCUGACGCUGAGGCACGAAAGCCAGGGGAGCAAACGGG